rfam:Rattus norvegicus chromosome 14, whole genome shotgun sequence.
GGGGAUUUAGCUCAGUGGUAGAGCGCUUGCCUAGCAAGUGCAAGGCCCUGGGUUCGGUCCCCGGCUCCG